rnacentral:rRNA from 1 species
AGAACGAACGCUGGCGGCAGGCUUAACACAUGCAAGUCGAGCGCCCCGCAAGGGGAGCGGCAGACGGGUGAGUAACGCGUGGGAACAUACCCUCCGGUUCGGAAUAGCUCAGGGAAACUUGGAUUAAUACCGGAUACGGCCUAGCGGCGAAAGAUUCAUCGCCGGAGGAUUGGCCCGCGUCUGAUUAGCUAGUUGGUGGGGUAAUGGCCCACCAAGGCGACGAUCAGUAGCUGGUCUGAGAGGAUGAUCAGCCACAUUGGGACUGAGACACGGCCCAAACUCCUACGGGAGGCAGCAGUGGGGAAUAUUGGACAAUGGGCGCAAGCCUGAUCCAGCCAUGCCGCGUGAGUGAUGACGGCCUUAGGGUUGUAAAGCUCUUUCGCUAGGGACGAUAAUGACGGUACCUUCAGAAGAAGCCCGGCUAACUACGCGCCAGCAGCCGC